AUUUUGGAAAGAGUGGGAGAAGUGUCAUACAAGUUAGACCUGCCAGAAGGGACUAACAUACACCCAGUAUUUCACAUUAGCCAACUGAAAAAACAUAUCGGCCACACAGUUGUUCCUCUUCCGCAUGUUCCCUUGGUGACACCAGAGGGUUAUGUUAAGACCAUACCAGUGGCAGUCCUAGAUCGGCACGUGAUACAAAGAAACAAAGCCCCGAUGGGUCAAUGCCUGGUGCAGUGGGAAAGCUUAGCUCCAGAUGAUGCAACAUGGGAAGACGCAGCAUUCCUCAACAAGACUUUUCCAGGCCACAAGCUUUUUCGCCUCGAGGACAAGGCGAUUGUCAUGGCGGCGGCAUUGUCAGGACCCAAGCCGAGAGAGUACUGA
rnacentral:rRNA from 1 species